rnacentral:sRNA from 1 species
UUAGAGGCGGAUACCCAAUCCUCAUAAUUGCAGAAGAUAUUGAACAAGAAGCCUUAGCU